GUCUUGAGGUAACUUGCUCUAAAACGCGCA
rnacentral:sRNA from 1 species